rnacentral:lncRNA from 1 species
CUCUCACGCACAGCUGGGCCAGUCUAAGUCUGAUACCAAUGGAAGUUUUGGACCCAGAGCUGUUCUCCCUCACCUGAGGCAUCUUUACUGGCUGUGGCUGGCUCUACCAGAUGCCUUCCCCCUUUACAGUAAAUCUCUCUCUGGGAUGUUUUGUCCUUUUAACAGUCAGGCUUCCACCAGGGUCCCCCAGUGUAUCCAGAAUGCCCAUAAUGUCUGAUCCCCAACAGUGGACUCAGUUGAAGCCUUUCUGGCCUGGUCAGUUGAUAUUUAUGUGGGUGACCAGAGAUCCCAAUUCCACCGAUCAGAGUUUUGUACCCAAGUCCUAGAUUCUCUCUGUUAAUCCUCAGCAGUCCCUCAAAGAAAGUACUAUCCCCAUUUCAAAUAUUCAAAAAGUGAGGAGUUGAGAAGUUACUUUAACUCCUUAAGGACUAAGAGGUAUUAUGUGGCUGUGCUGGGAUUUGACUCUAGCAGCGCUUGACUCCAGAGUAUGGUUGACUUCAGUUUGCAACUAAUGCCUUAAUCCACGCUGUGAUUGAUCAGCUGCUAAAACAUAGGAACAAUAGGAUAACAAAAAGUGACAGGCUACCAAUGCAAAAGCUUCACACUCCUUACCUGCAUAUCGAAGAAAAGGGCUUCAAAGAGACUCAGGACUGAGUGGUUAUGGAGACGGUGUAACAUCCCACCGACACUGUGUGACGAAGGUUUCAAGGAAACCGUUCUCUUCUACCGUGUCCAUGCGCUGUGAGGCCGUUGAGAGUGUUUCCUGAGAUUUCUGCAGCACGACACAGUGGGCCACAAAUGCUCCCUUUUCUGUGUCAUUUGCUCUCUUCAUUGAUAAAGGACACUCAUCCUUCCUGUUU